UACGAAGGGGGCAAGCGUUGUUCGGAAUUAUUGGGCGUAAAGGGCUCGUAGGCGGCCAACUAAGUCAGACGUGAAAUCCCUCGGCUUAACCGGGGAACUGCGUCUGAUACUGGAUGGCUUGAGUUUGGGAGAGGGAUGCGGAAUUCCAGGUGUAGCGGUGAAAUGCGUAGAUAUCUGGAGGAACACCGGUGGCGAAGGCGGCAUCCUGGACCAACACUGACGCUGAGUGAGCGAAAGCCAGGGGAGCAAACGGGG
rnacentral:rRNA from 1 species